rnacentral:rRNA from 1 species
GUGCCAGCAGCCGCGGUAAUACGGAGGUGGCAAGCGUUACUCGGAUUGAUUGGGUGUAAAGGGCGUGUAGGUGGCAUUACAAGUCGAGCGUGAAAUCCCUUGGCUUAACCAAGGAACUGCGUUCGAAACUGUUUUGCUUGAGCGAUGGAGAGGAAAGUGGAAUUCCCGGUGUAACAGUGAAAUGUGUAGAUAUCGGGAGGAACACCAGUGGCGAAGGCGACUUUCUGGACAUUUGCUGACACUGAAACGCGAGAGCAUGGGGAGCAAACAGGAUUAGAAACCCUUGUAGUCC